AUUGUGAUUAGGGUGGAUUUGAUGAGAAGCCUUUGUUCGAGGACUGAGCGCAGCGAAGGAGAACGUCGCGUUGUUCGCGACAGCCCGUAGGGCGAAGGCCGCAGGCCUGAGUAAUCCCUCCCUCUCCGCCA
rnacentral:sRNA from 1 species